rnacentral:lncRNA from 1 species
CUAUAGUAUCUGCUUUUUUUCAGAUUUUCUAGUUUAUUUUAUACUGCAUACUCUCAAACAGUGUACAUUUUAAUGUGACUGCAUUUGCCUUUAAGUUGCACUUAGUAUGUGUGUAUCUGUAAGUGACAAUGCAUGCAUGUGUGUGUGAGUGAAUCCAUCACCAGCCCUCGGGGCAUGCAUCGCUCCCAAGCCAAAAUAAACCCCACUUACUCUUGCACAAUAAAUCAUUCUUCUCAAUGAGCUGAAGCCAGCUGAGACGCUCUUUAGUGCAUAACAAUAUCAUCUACAUUCAAUAAACAUUGCUCCUAUUGCCCUCACUGUGGGUGAGUUCAGUUUGUGAGAUAACAGCCUUGAGGCUAUUUCAGUGGACUGACAGAAAUGAACAUGUAUCCAGACUAUGACACACUCCUAACUAACGCUCUAACAAUGACCUCUAUUUUCUCUUUGGUAUGUUUUCUGUGAGUAUACAUGUAACUGUGGAAAAAAAGACAGUACCAAGAGACAGACAAGGGAGAGUGGAGAUCAAAGGUAACAAAGUAGACAGAGGCAGUGCCAAAGAGAAGAGAAGAAAAAACACUGAAAAGAGGCUGCGUUCCACUAUGUGUACUUACACAGCCUGUGAAAGUGAUGUCGUCUCUUUUCCUUCUUGGUACUGUGCCAGGCCUGGCCUCCUGUCAGCCAUCGGGGGAGCCAAAUGACAGCUUUGAUCCUAUUAGGAUCAGCGCCAAAUCAACACUUUGCUCAUUAAGGGCCUGCACAAGCCAGCUAACAACGCGCCCGCCUUCUACGCCGACCCUCCGUGCCAAGCAGCCAUGCCCUGUGAGCGCCAGCAUCACCUGCCGUCACCGGGUGAAUGCAGAAGCAUGCUAGAAAUGCUUUGCUGACUCAGCGCUGACUCAGCACUCUUAAGUAUUUUACAGUUUAGCUACAAUUUUUUGUUCUGUGUGAAGAAAGUCAUUUUAAUGAAGUUGCUGGUUGGUUUUAAUUAAUGUUCAGCCAUCUUUUACUGUUAACAAACCAACAUUUACAGUAUAUAUAUAUUUAAAAGUACUACCUUCAUUACUAAAACAUGCCUGCUGCUUCACAGAAACAAUUUUCCC